rnacentral:rRNA from 1 species
CCUACGGGAGGCAGCAGUGGGGAAUAUUGGACAAUGGGCGAAAGCCUGAUCCAGCAAUGCCGCGUGAGUGAUGAAGGCCUUAGGGUUGUAAAGCUCUUUUACCCGGGAAGAUAAUGACUGUACCGGGAGAAUGAGCUCCGGCUAACUCCGUGCCAGCAGCCGCGGUAAUACGGAGGGAGCUAGCGUUGUUCGGAAUUACUGGGCGUAAAGCGCACGUAGGCGGCUUUGUAAGUUAGAGGUGAAAGCCUGGAGCUCAACCCCAGAACUGCCUUUAAGACUGCAUCGCUUGAAUCCAGGAGAGGUGAGUGGAAUUCCGAGUGUAGAGGUGAAAUUCGUAGAUAUUCGGAAGAACACCAGUGGCGAAGGCGGCUCACUGGACUGGUAUUGACGCUGAGGUGCGAAAGCGUGGGGAGCAAACAGGAUUAGAUACCCUAGUAGUC